CUACAUUUUUAUUUGAAAAGAACAAAAAAGAAAAAAAGAGAAAAAGGAGAAGAACUCACCUCAAGGAAAAUAGAUUAUGAAGCGUCAAGUGUUGAAGAUCAAGAAGAAGGAACAAGUGCUCGGUUAGAUUAUUUGUCGUAAUCAGGAAUAAGAUAUCAGUGAACCUUUUGGGUUGACGUGAGUCAUUGGAACUCCACAUGUUAUCAGGGUCAGCGGCUGAUGCAUUUUGGCAACCUUCUCCUCCUCAUCAUUUUUGCAUGUA